UAUGUGAUCGUCUCUCGCAUAUCAAUAAGCGGAGGAAAAGAAACUAACAAGGAUUCCCCUAGUAACGGCGAGUGAAGCGGGAAGAGCUCAAAUUUGAAAUCUUAAAGGGUUUCCCUUUACGAAUUGUAGUUUAAAGAAGUGUUUUCUGUUGAGGUUUUGGUAAAAGUUCUUUGGAAUAGGACAUCAUAGAGGGUGAGUAAUCCCGUAUUUGACCUUUACUUUCAACUUUGUGAUACACUUUCAAAGAGUCGGAUUGUUUGGGAAUGCAGUCCAAAAUGGGUGGUAAAUUUCAUCUAAAGCUAAAUAUUGGCGAGAGACCGAUAGCGAACAAGUACCGUGAGGGAAAGAUGAAAAGAACUUUGAAAAGAGAGUUAAACAGUACGUGAAAUUGUCAAAAGGGAAGCGUUUGACACCAGUGUUGUUUUCUGAAAAUCAAUUAAAGAACUGUUUAUGCUAAGUUGUUUAGACUUUAUCAGCUAUCUGUUUAGUUUUGAGCUUUUCUUUAAUGCACUUUUCAGUUAACAAGUCAACAUCAAUUUCUUUUGCUGUAAAAAAGCUUGAGGAAGGUGGCUUGAGAUUCGUCUUAAGUGUUUAUAGCCUCUUGCCUAUGCAGUCGGAGAGAUUGAGGUCUGCAGCGUAGAUCCUUCGGGGCUAAAUGCAUUUGUGCUAAGUUAUAGCAUUUUAUAGACAACUUGUUGACUAUGAUUUGUCUUGUAGCUUACUCGCUUAUGUUAUUUUACCUACGCUUAGGAUGUUGAUCUACAGAGCGAGAGU
rnacentral:rRNA from 1 species